rnacentral:rRNA from 1 species
AUUGAACGCUGGCGGCAAGCCUAACACAUGCAAGUCGAACGAGUGGCGGACGGGUGAGUAAUGUCUGGGAAACUGCCUGAUGGAGGGGGAUCACUACUGGAAACGGUAACUAAUACCGCAUACCAUCUGAUGUGCCCAUAUGGGAUUAGCUAGUAGGUGGGGUAAAGGCUCACCUAGGCCACGAUCCCUAGCUGGUCUGAGAGGAUGACCAGGCACACUGGAACUGAGACACGGGCCAGACUCCUACGGGAGGCAGCAGUGGGGAAUAUUGCACAAUGGGCGCAAGCCGGAUGCAGCCAUGCCGCGUGUAUGAAGAAGGCCUUCGGGUUGUAAAGUACGUUCAGCGGGGAGGCGUUACCCGCAGAAGAAGCACCGGCUAACUCCGUGCCAGCAGCCGCGGUAAUAC